rnacentral:tRNA from 1 species
UGGAGAGGUGGCAGAGUCCGGUUGAUUGCGCACGACUCGAAAUCGUGUAGGGUCACACCCUCGUGGGUUCGAAUCCCACCCUCUCCGU